CGAUGAUUCAUUCAUAAAACACAGAUACGUUCACUUGUCGCCGCCUGCUGGUGUAGCAGUUAAUCGCGGUCUUAAUUUCAACAGCAAAGAAUGGUUAAACAAGUUUAAAGACUCAGACGAGGCCCAGUUAGUUCCGCUGGACUCUGAGAAGAAUGUAAAAUGAAAAUGCACAACCGAAAGAAAGGAUAUGGUUUUAAGGAGGACCGUAUGUUCAAACAUUAACGUUUUUAGAGAAAACAGUGUGAAUGUUACCCACAGGUCAUGGUGUCAGUGGACGGGCAGAAUGGAGUUUUGUACAGCUCCAACAAUACUGAUGUGAAUGAGAGGGGUGAUGAGCUAUGGAUGCCUCUUACAAAACUGACUCCAGUAUGAGUCAUCAGUGUUGAUCAAGAAAAUCCACAACUAAACCCAUGGGUGGGAAUUAUCUUGGAAGAAAGUUUGGCAAUGGAUGAACUGACCCAUCUCAGGCCUUCUAUGUCCAUUUCUUUUUUUUUCAGACUGAUUUAUGCUCUGCACCUGGACUACCGUAAGUGUGUGAAAAGCACUUUAUAUUUUAUUCAUUAGAUAAUGCUCAACCUCGGACAAGGGGAGCUGGCACCCAAAAUUCUGUACUGCCAGUAUUGUGAACUCAGAGUGGAAAAAAACAUAUUGAUGUAAUCUCUUGUGAUUCUGAGAUAGACUGUUCAUGUG
ensembl:lncRNA